CUAAUACUCCCUCCGUCUAGAAAUACUUGUCAUCAAAAUGGAUGAAAAUGGAUGUAUCUAGAACAAAAAUACAUCUAGAUACAUCCAUUUUGAUGACAAGUAUUUCCGGACGGAGGGAGUACUAC
rfam:Triticum urartu cultivar G1812 contig394857, whole genome shotgun sequence.